CUAAUGUGUUUUACAAGUAUUAACUAUGUUUGGGAUAAGAUUGAUUACUUUCUCCCAAGUGUUCGCAUCAUUAUAGUUUUAUCAACGAAUUAAACAUAGUAUGGUUGAGAACUUUUUAUCAUCCAUGUUUAAGUGUCUGCAUGCAUCAUUAUAUCAUUGAAUACAUUUGAGAAUUUUCUAUCAUCCAUUUUUGUAAUAAGGUUUGAAACAUUUUAAAUGGCUGUAAUUGGAUCUUUAGUAUUUAGUUAGGGUUGCUGUCAAAGAAAAAUCACCAUUCCACAAAAAAAAAAGAGUUAAACAUAAUCAAAGAGUUCAUUGCGAUGGCUGAAUUGAUUGCAACCACUUGAUUUUACAUGUUUAGAGUUAAAUUAUUUCCACACUGAUGUUACAUGUUUAUUGAUACUUCCACACUCCAUCAAAUACGUAUCUAUCUGUUACUAUAAAGAAAAGGUGUCUCUAUUCUCUUCUUGCCAGCUCAGAAAAUAGGUUAAGGAGAGUGCAACACGUGUUCCCUAUACACAAAAACUCAUCGUUUCAUUAAACGGGAUGUGUCGUGGGCUUUUUGUUUAAACUCAAAAAUUGGUCUUCUUCAGUCGUGGGCUUCUCUACACUUUACACUUAAUUAGGCCCAUGUCAAACUAUAUACAGAGACACUAUCGGUAUUAAACGAUGCGUUUAAGAUUAAGGCUCCUCGCGUCUCCAUAGGCGUCUCCAUUCUUCAUCGAGCAGCCGAUCGUUCAUCUUCUUCUUGCGAUUCAAUAUGAGACUGUUAUCGAUUUCCCCUCAUAAUACCCUCCAUUAAUCAACCAGACCUGAUCUAUAUUCAACGCGACCCUAGAGAUUGUAAGGCGAUGACGUUCUACUAUAAAUAGACUGGUCGUUCUUUCUCCGCCGUUCAAGUUCGCCUGCUUCGUUUCUGGGCAGCGAGGAAUGUACGCCGUGGUGGAGAACUCAUGAUCCUGCUUGAUUCUCAGUUAGUGUAUUUAACAUUGUAAACUAUUUAAGUUCUAAUUUUGUUUAUAGUUCUCCGGUUAAAUUCUAAAUCCAUCUCCGCCUUUUAGAUUGUAGAUUUUCAUUUUCCGUUGUGUUUGGGAGUUUCUGCUGUAGUUAUUUGGCUGAGCUAUUUCCAGGCUUCUGAUGAGUAAUAAGUUUUUCUUAAAAUAUACAUAUUUUUCACACCUGAGUAAUUACUAGAGUAUUAAAAUUUUAUAUGUAGCUUUUGGAGUUCUGUUAAACAAUAUCGCAUAGGAAUAUUCACGUAAUUAGAUGAUUGUCCUGACUAUUAGUUGAUGUGUAGAUAAUUUCCACCAUUCUUCAUCCAUAUAACAAACUUAACCAUCAGACCUUCACCAUCUCCCGCAUACUCAGCGAGGUUGACCGGGUGACCGUUUACCACACCCUGAAUUAGAUGACAACGUAAGCAUUAUAGUUUCCAGUAACGUCUCUGCUUUAUAUUCAUAGAUAUUUGACUUCUUUUGGAUUGAUUAUGGUGGUGAUGAUGACAAUGGAGAUGAAAAAGACGGUGGCAACUCAGUCCCUGUUAAGGUGGAAGCUUGUGGUGGUAGCAAUGAUGAUGGAGCUGCUCGGAAGGUGAAGAAAGCCCGCAAGGCAUGAGUGAAGCCGAUUGAUGUUGAGGAUGCUGUUUCCCGCUUUUUAACGAAUAAGUUGUUUUUGUUGGUUUGUCUUUGCUUCUGUUUUUGUUUCUCCUGAACAACUUUGUGUUUUUUUUCCUUUUGAAACAUCUACAUUGCGUUCUUUUUUUUUUGCUAAAAACAUUUGAGUUCUUGCUUGUCAGUUAUAAGAUUUACUCCAUUUCAGAA